rnacentral:rRNA from 1 species
AGGUGGAUUUGUAAGUCAGAGGUGAAAUCCCAAAGCUCAACUUUGGAGCUGNCUUUGAUACUGCAAGUCUUGAGUUUGGAAGAGGGUAAUGGAAUAUCUGGUGUAGCAGUGAAAUGCGUAGAUAUCAGAUAGAACACCAAUGGCGAAGGCAGUUACCUGGUCCAAAACUGACACUAAAGCACGAAAGUGUGGGGAGCAAACAGGAUUAGAUACCCUGGUAGUCCACACCCUAAACGAUGAAUACUAGAUGUUGGUCCUUUUAAGGAUCAGUAUCCAAGCUAACGCAUUAAGUAUUCCACCUGGGAAGUACANUCGCAAGGUUGAAACUCAAAGGAAUUGACGGGGGCCCGCACAAGCAGUGGAGCAUGUGGUUUAAUUCGACGCAACGCGGAGAACCUUANCCUAGGCUUGAAACGCAAAGCU